CCGGGACCCAUCUCGAGUUGGAGUCAAAGCUUUGUACUU
rnacentral:telomerase_RNA from 1 species